UACGUAGGGUCCGAGCGUUGUCCGGAAUUAUUGGGCGUAAAGAGCUCGUAGGCGGUCUGUCGCGUCUGCUGUGAAAACCCGGGGCUCAACCCCGGGCCUGCAGUGGGUACGGGCAGACUAGAGUGCGGUAGGGGAGACUGGAAUUCCCGGUGUAGCGGUGAAAUGCGUAGAGAUCGGGAGGAACACCAGUGGGGAAGCCGGCGCCCUGGGCCGAACCUGACGCUGAGGCGCGACAGCGUGGGGAGCAAACAGG
rnacentral:rRNA from 1 species